rnacentral:rRNA from 1 species
GAUGAACGCUGGCGGCGUGCCUAACACAUGCAAGUCGAGCGAACAGACGAGGUUGUUGCUCCUCUGACGGUAGACGCGGACGUGACAGGAACAUGAGGAGCACUUGCCUUCAAGACAGGUAUAACAUCCGGAAGCCGGUGCUAAUAACGGAUAAUUUCUUCAACCGCGUGGUUGAAUAGUGUAAGACGGUUUUGCUGUCACUUCUAGAUGUAUCCGCGCUGCAUGAGCUAUUUGGUAAGGAAACUGCGUACCAAGGCAACGCUGCGUAGCCGACCUGAGAGGGUGAUGGGCCACACUGGAACUGAGACACGGUCCAGACUCCUACGGGAGGCAGCAGUAGGGAAUCUUCCGCAAAGGGCGAAAGCUUGACGGAGCAACGCCGCGUGAGUGAUGAAGGUCUUCGGAUCGUAAAACUCUGUUAUUAGGGAAGAACAAAUGUGUAAGUAACUAUGCACGUCUUGACGGUACCUAAUCAGAAAGCCACGGCUAACUACGUG